GCCACUUCCUUCCAAGAAAAGUUAGACGGCAAACCGGCGAUGCAGGGAGCCAUGGACCCAUGUAAUGAACAUUAGCUGGCUUGGCUGCGACCCUGAAACAAUAUAACGAUCUCUCUGCCUGUGAAGCCUGUGCUGUACACACUUGAGACAUGGGUUUCCGUAAUUGCAAAAGAAGAAAAGAAAAAUGAAGAAUGCCUUUCCAUGCAAAUGUACGACUUCAGAGUCCACAUAUAUUCGAUCAGUUCAUAGUGCAACAUGUUAAGCUGGUUUUCAUAGUUGACAGAUUACGGUAGACUCAAUAAAUCGGUCAACAGCUUGACACAUUGAUUGACGAACUAGUCAACCUUAUCCAUCAUAAGUUCAUAGCACAAACACAAGCUCAGAGGACACGACAUGCAUUAUGCACUGCCCCGCUCAGAUGGAUAAAUUUAACAACCCACACCUUUCUUCGUAGCUUCAUAAUGUCGUGCAUGCAAACAGCAUGACAUUGCUUAAAUAUGCAGAAGGUUCAGUAUACCAGGGAAGGGUUUUGCAUCAAAAAAAUAUUAGAAAUUUUCAGUAGACUCCCACACACACGCACGUCGCAAGUUAUGCGCGUAGCUUCCUUACCAUCUUACCUAUACAGCAUAUCCAACUAAAUAGGGAUGCUAUCCUUUUGUACUCACCCGUGAGGUUAGUCCGGAUUUGUAACACCAACCGGAAGUAAAGAGUCACCUUUAGUCCCGAUUGGUGUUACCAACCGGGACUAAAGAGCCUCGCACGAACUACAAAAUUUAGAUCCGGGACUAAAGUCGUAGUCCUGGGUCCAAAAAUGACCAAGACUUUUGUUAAGGAUGAAAGGUCAUUUCUCUAUUAGUGCAUCUUGUCCACCACCACCACCUCCGCCUCGACCUCCCCCAUCCCCACCCCCAGCACUAACAUAUCUUGCUACUCUUGCAGCCUUGGCAAGUCCAAUGCUAAGUUGGACGAUGAAACUAAGGGCACUUAGUUCUAGCCAUUUUGAGCUACCAAGCUUUAUGAAUC
rnacentral:lncRNA from 1 species